CUUAGCCCACCAUCAAAAGAAGGCUAGUGGGAUGCAUGUUAUUUCUGGACCAUAUCUUUCACAUCCCUCCAGCAGAUAAACACCCAGUGAUUCCUUGUCUCCAGCUGAUGGGUUCCUAGGAGGAUUGACAGGAGGUCAAAGCCCGAGAUGGACUGUGCAAGCAAAGAUCAAGAGAGCUGCUGUAGUAGUGCUAAGAGCUCAGAGAGAGAAAAAGCAAUAAAAAUGGAGUGUUUGCUGAAGAAGGUGCUAGUAGAAAACCAACAGUUGAAAAAUGCUGUUGUCCUCCUGAAGCAGCAGAAUAAGGAAAAAGACAAUGUGGAUGACUGCAAGAGGUCAGUGUCAG